rnacentral:tRNA from 1 species
UCCUUCCUUAGCUCAGUUGGUAGAGCAGUGGACUCUUAAUCCAUGGGUCGUAGGUUCGAGCCCUACAGGGAGGAU